rnacentral:piRNA from 1 species
UGAGAGUUUUUGUCAGUAUUCACCAGGAA